UCCCCACUCUCCUAUUGUGUUCACAAGAAUUCUUUUUUUUUUUUUAAAGCCACAAGGCAUGUGGGAUCUUAGUUCUUCAACCAAGGGAUCGAACCUUCCUCCCCUACAUUGGAAGCAUGGAGUCUUAACCAUUGGACCACCAGGAAAGUCCCAAUAUGAACUUCUAAAUUACCAUGUUCUCAGACCCUCAGCCCAUCUGAGCUGCUCCUUCUGGGAAGUGAGUGUACCCUGGCUGACAGCAUCAUAGCAACGAGGCCCUCAUGUCGCCUUGGAUCAGCUUUGAUUGACUUUCCACUUUGGAGCUAUUCUUGGUGAGAGACUGAUAUUUUAUUCAGUGUGUGAAAUGGCUGAUGGGAGUUAAAUGUGCUAAAAGAUUGCCCUGGGAAUACUGUUUCAAGGCCUGGUGUGAGGCAAAAAGAAGGAAAGCCUGACCUCUCCUUUGGGCUCUAGAACCUUCCACUGAAGCUCUAUUCAAGGUAGCCAAUUGCCAACUGUCUGUCCCUUUCCCCUCCUCCCAACUCUAGCAUGGAGAUCUUGACCAACCCUUGGCUCCUGAAUUUGGCUAACAGAGCUCAACAUCUCAGCUCCAGCUUGACUGCCUCCUUUGCACAACAAGUCACUUCCUUUAUCUGGGCCUCAAUUUCCCCACUGGUAAAAUGAAAGACUCAACUACAGUAAUGGUUUUCAAAGUGUGUCCCACAGAGUCCAGCAUUCUGCUGAGGAUCAAGCUAAGCUAAGCUAAGCUAAGUCACUUCAGUCGUGUCCGACUCUGUGCGACCCCACAGACGGCAGCCCACCAGGCUCCCCCGUCCCUGGGAUUCUCCAGGCAAGAACACUGGAGUGGGUUGCCAUUUCCUUCUCCAGUGCAUGAAAGUGAAAAGUGAAAGUGAAGUCGCUCAGUGGUGUCUGACUUCUAGCGACCCCAUGGACUGCAGCCCACCAGGCUCCUCUGUCCAUGGGAUUUUCCAGGCAAGAGUACUGGAGUGGGGUGCCAUUGCCUUCUCUGAAGGUGUCCACCAAAACUAUCACCUCUGCUUCGUU
rnacentral:lncRNA from 1 species